rnacentral:sRNA from 1 species
GCUGGGUGUGGAAGUGCACACCUGUAAUCCCAGUGACUCAGGAGGCUGAUGUAGGAGGAUCACAAGCUCAAAGCUAGCUUCAGCAAUUUAGCAAGGCUCUAGGGAAUUUAGUGAGACCCUGUCUCAA